rnacentral:pre_miRNA from 1 species
AGUGGGAUUGUUGGAUCACACGGUAUUUCUAGCUUUUUAAGGAACUGACAUAUUGUUUUCCAAAGUGGUUUUACCAUUUGACAUUUCCACCAGCAGU